GCAUGCUCACAGUGCCGAGCCAGGCAGCGAUGUUGUUUUCGUUCUUUGUGGAAGUGGGUCAGCGGCGGGUCCGGGUUCGGGUUCGGGAUCGGGAUCGGGAUCGGGAGGGGGUCCUCGCCCCCUUGGACGGGGAGCCGGAGACGGAUUAUUCUCUGCGGGGCAACACCAACAAUUUCCAUUCAACCUGCUGUGAGAGGUUUAUUGGAAAAAAAAACCCAACUGGAAGCAAACCACGGCUGAAGAUGUAGGAACAGCAACAAGUGAACUGGCCCGAGGACUGAGAACAUCAACUGGAGAGAACAACACUGAAUCAGGUGACUUGGAGUUCCCAGUGAGUCAGUGAGGAGGAAGUUUGGUGAGUCUCAUUUACUCAGACACUGGUCCUUUAUACAUUACAUGCCUGUACAUUAGAAGGUGGGAAAUAGUUGGUGUUUGAAGUCAUUCUGACAAAAUGUUAUUAACCUGAAUUGUAAAGUUUGUUCCUGUCCCCACAGCUGUUCCUUACCUGCUGAGCAGUUUGGUAAUUCCAAUUUCUUUUUAUUACAUUCACUCUGGAUUAGUUUAUGUUUCCUGAAUUGUACCUGUUUUAAUGUGGGAGUGGAAAUGGCUCACUCUGUGAUAGUAGAACAGUAAAGUAACCACAACUUUUCCCUGCAAAUUACCCUGGUGCCAAUUAGAUUGUUAUUCCUAGAAAUGUGUUCAGUACAGUUGUUGUGAACAAGGCUUACAAGAAUAAUCUCAGGAAUGUUCGGCAUUAUGUAUGAGGAGCAUUUGAUUGUUCUGGACCAGUGCUCAAUGGAGUUCAUCAGGACGGUGGGAGUGGUGGGGGAUGUAUGGUUAAGUAAACCUACCAAAUGCUGAAAAGCCUGGAUACGGUGGACACAGAGAGGAUGUUUCCAUUAGACUGUGAUCUGACAGCGCAGUCUCAGAAUAAAGAAGCUUCCCUUUAAAACUGAGAGGAGAAAAAAAAAUUGGCCAGAAGAUGUCUGAUCUGUGGAAUUUGUUGCCACAGAGGUUGGUUGAAGCUGCUAUUUGGGUAUAUUUAUGACAGAGAUGAACAUAUUGAUGAUUGCUCAGCAGCUCAGGGUUACAGGAGGAAGGCAGGAAUGUGGUGUUGGAAUGAAAAUCAGCCAUGGUUAAAUGGUGGGGCAGACCAGUUGGACCAAAUCACAUAAUUCUGUUCCUGACUGAAUGAUGGCUCCUCCUUAUCCCAUAUUGUUUUGUGAUGUGUGAGUGACAAUAAAAAAUAUGUUUACUGAAAUCAUUAUAUCAGCCUUCAACGUUUUGUUCUUAGUAACAUUCAGCAGAAAUGUUUGGUUCUCCUUUUUAUUGGAAGAAAAACCCCAACUAGAAGCAAACCACGGCUGAAGACGAGGGAACAGCAACAAGUGCACCAGCCUGAGGACUGAGAGCAUUAACUGGAGAGAUCAACUCUGCCUCAGGAGAAUCGGAGAUUCCAUUGAUUCAGUCAGGAGAAAGUUUGGUCAUUCUCACUAAUUUCAAAGGUCUUCGCUUCGAACUGCUGGGUUGUUACAAUGAACAUCUGAAGUCUGACAGCAGACUAGCGAGUGAAUGGAGCAGAGUCAGAAACCAAGUUGCCAGUCAGAGAUUUGGGGCUCCAGAAAGAGAUGGGGCCUGGUUUACAAGGAGGAGGAAGAAGAGAAACCGAACCUGCAGGAUGUGGCUACAAAUGAAAGAUCAGACACAUUUGGAAUCUGCUUGAUUGGAAAAAAAGGUGGUUAAUUUCUGCAAAAUACUGGAGGAAAUCAACAGAUCAGGCAGCAAAUGUGGAGAGGAAUAAAUAGACAACGUUUACGCCGAGCCCCUUCAGCAUGCCUAGACUGUGUACUCCUCUGCUUAGUUGCUACCUGAACUGCACAGUUCCGCCAGCAUU